rnacentral:rRNA from 1 species
CCUACGGGAGGCAGCAGUGGGGAAUAUUGCACAAUGGGCGCAAGCCUGAUGCAGCGACGCCGCGUGAGGGAUGACGGCCUUCGGGUUGUAAACCUCUUUCAGUAGGGAAGAAGCGAAAGUGACGGUACCUGCAGAAGAAGCGCCGGCUAACUACGUGCCAGCAGCCGCGGUAAUACGUAGGGCGCAAGCGUUAUCCGGAAUUAUUGGGCGUAAAGAGCUCGUAGGCGGUUUGUCGCGUCUGCUGUGAAAGACCGGGGCUCAACUCCGGUUCUGCAGUGGGUACGGGCAGACUAGAGUGCAGUAGGGGAGACUGGAAUUCCUGGUGUAGCGGUGAAAUGCGCAGAUAUCAGGAGGAACACCGAUGGCGAAGGCAGGUCUCUGGGCUGUAACUGACGCUGAGGAGCGAAAGCAUGGGGAGCGAACAGGAUUAGAUACCCUGGUAGUCCAUGCCGUAAACGUUGGGCACUAGGUGUGGGGGACAUUCCACGUUUUCCGCGCCGUAGCUAACGCAUUAAGUGCCCCGCCUGGGGAGACGCGCAGNAACUAAGAAGUAGAGNGNGNGACGNGCGAGCGACGACGAGGAGAG